AUAUUGUGCUAUUUGAAAGGUGCUCCGAGUAGUGGUCUUUUGCAUAGCAUUAAUGGAAAUUUAAAUGUUGAGUGUUUUUCAGAUACAGACUGGGCAGAGAAUAAGGCUAAUAGGAGAUCAACUACUGGAUAUUGUGUAUUUGUUGGAGGUAAAUUUUGUGUCUUGGAGCAGUAAGAAGCAGAGCGUAGUCCCUUGAUUUAGUUCUAAAUCGGAAUACAGAGCUAUGGCACAGUCAGUGUGUGAAAUAAUGUGGAUACUUCAAUUAUUAAAUGAGAUUGGCCUUAAGACCUCUCUACCUGCACAAUUGUGGUGUGAUAAUCAAGCUG
rnacentral:misc_RNA from 1 species